rnacentral:misc_RNA from 1 species
UGACCACCACGAUAAACAGCAAUGAUCCCCAGCCAACUUUAUGCCAGAUACCAUUAACGACGGCUUCGCUGAACGCUGUAUAAACCACCAACAGAAUGGACGUCUGGUCAGUUUUCGCCCCCAGCACUACGGAGAUUAAAC